GGAGAGGUGGCCGAGCUGGCUUAAGGCGUACGCCUGCUAAGCGUAUGAGGGGCGUUGAGCCUCUCCGAGGGUUCAAAUCCCUCCCUCUCCG
rnacentral:tRNA from 1 species